rnacentral:rRNA from 1 species
GACGAACGCUAGCGGCGUGCUUAACACAUGCAAGUCGAGCGGUAAGGCCCUUUCGGGGGUACACGAGCGGCGAACGGGUGAGUAACACGUGGGUGACCUGCCCUUAGCUCUGGGAUAAGCCUGGGAAACUGGGUCUAAUACCGGAUAUGACUCCAUGACGCAUGUUGUGGGGUGGAAAGCCUUGUGCGGCUAGGGAUGGGCCCGCGGCCUAUCAGCUUGUUGGUGGGGUGAUGGCCACCAAGGCGACGACGGGUAGCCGGCCUGAGAGGGCGACCGGCCACACUGGGACUGAGACACGGCCCAGACUCCUACGGGAGGCAGCAGUGGGGAAUCUUGCGCAAUGGGCGAAAGCCUGACGCAGCGACGCCGCGU